rnacentral:rRNA from 1 species
UACGGGGGGGGUAAGCGUUGUUCGGAAUUACUGGGCGUAAAGGGCUCGUAGGCGGCCAACUAAGUCAGACGUGAAAUCCCUCAGCUUAACUGGGGAACUGCGUCUGAUACUGGAUGGCUUGGAUUUGGGAGAGGGAUGUGGAAUUCCAGGUGUAGCGGUGAAAUGCGUAGAUAUCUGGAGGAACACCGGUGGCGAAGGCGGCAUCCUGGACCAAUAUUGACGCUGAGGAGCGAAAGCCAGGGGAGCAAACGGG